rnacentral:snRNA from 1 species
AUACUUACCUGGCAGGGGAGAUACCAUGAUCACGAAGGUGGUUUUCCCAGGGCGAGGCUUAUCCAUUGCACUCCGGAUGUGCUGACCCCUGCGAUUUCCCCAAAUGUGGGAAACUCGACUGCAUAAUUUGUGGUAGCGGGGACUGCGUUCGCGCUUUCCCCUG